rnacentral:rRNA from 1 species
ACAAGCGGUGGAGUAUGUGGUUUAAUUCGAUGCAACGCGAAGAACCUUACCUGGUCUUGACAUCCCGGAGACCCUUAGGAAACUAGGGGGUGCUUCCAUCUGGAAGAAGUCUGGAGACGGGUGCUGCAUGGCUGUCGUCAGCUCGUGUCGUGAGAUGUUGGGUUAAGUCCCGCAACGAGCGCAACCCUUGCCUUUAGUUGCCAGCAGUUCGGCUGGGCACUCUAAAGGGACUGCCGGUGUUAAACCGGAGGAAGGUGGGGAUGACGUCAAGUCCUCAUGGCCUUUAUGACCAGGGCUACACACGUACUACAAUGGCCGAUACAAAGGGCAGCGACACUGCGAGGUGAAGCCAAUCCCGUAAAAUCGGUCUCAGUCCGGAUUGGAGUCUGCAACUCGACUCCAUGAAGUUGGAAUCGCUAGUAAUCGUGGAUCAGCAUGCCACGGUGAAUGCGUUCCCGGGUCUU